AGCGCUGGAAGUACGCCUCCCAAGCCGCGUGAUUGCCGCUGGCGUACUGGGGGAGGGAGCGCUCGUCGUCGGUCAGGGAGGCGCGCGCGACCUCGACCUCCUCGGCGAAGUAAGUGGGCUUCGCCACGGCGUCGGGUAACGGGGGAACAGGCACUCCCCCGUCGCUGAGCCGCCACCCCGUCGGCCCGGCGCGCAUGUCCGGCGGCGCCGGGAUGUUCGCCUGGAACAGGAGCCAGGACUCCUGUUCGUGGAGCGAACGCCGACUGAAGCCGUUCGCCGCCGCCUCGUCUCCGGGGAAGCGCUCUGCCAUGGCGACGGGCUCGGCGCUGGUAGAGAGGGAGAGAGAGGGGCUGCCGGUGGCGCUCGAGAAAGGAAGACGGAGACGGAGAGAGAGGGGCUGGGCGGCGGCGAGGGGCGAGUCUGGUGUGGGCACCGGCGAGUACCGCCGGCUUUUAUAGCCGCUCCGCGCCAUGUGUACGCGUGCGAGGGAGGGGAGGCGUCGGCGCGCCGUCCCGAGACGCGCCGCCCGUGAGGAAUCAAUGGCAAGGAUGACCGGCGGCAGCCUUGCCAUUGAUUCCCCGCAGGAACCGAGGUAGUUGGGGGGAAGACGAGCCGCCGUGUCCCUGACGUGGCUGGCCCGCGGCUUUUUCGCGUCAAAACAGUUUGCCCCGGCGCCCCCGGGCGCCCCCCAGCGCGCCAGGUUCGGCAAUCGGGCUCCUGGAGGCACGACUGGGCCGCUUUUUCGGCGCCGGCGCAAAAAAAAACGCCUGGGGAGGCCUUCCUAGGGGCGCGGCUGAAGAUGCCCUGAGGUUCAUGGAGGAGGGGGACAUGGAAGAGAGGAGGUGCCAGGUCCAGAGGGGAAAAUGUUUGUACAAGUUCCCUUGACACGAAUCAAACUACCGAGUUUCGUUGGAAAUUUGUAUGUGUGAGUAUUUCACAUGAACUGUGUGUUAGACUGUAUUUACAUGUGUAUAUUGUAACGUUGUAUACCACCUCAUUAUAUAUAUAUAUGUGAUAGGCCAUCCCUAGAGGGUUGUGCCGGUUCCCCCCAAAGCCUAUUGUCUUACAUGGUAUCACGCUAGGUUACGUCCGCUUCCGCCUAAAAACCCUAAACCGCCGCCGCCGUCGCCGUCGCCCGACUGCUAUGACGUCCGCCGCUGCGUCCGGCUCCACCGCCACCGGUUUUCUGCCGGCCUCCCUCGCGGCACUUCUCUCGAGGCCGCUGGAUGCCGUCUCCCUUCAGGCGCCGAUCGGGACACGGAGCAUCGACUCCCUCUUCGCGCUCCCGCCGGCUGCUACUUUGCCCGGGCAGGCGCUUGUGGCCCACACCGCCGCCGCCCCGUCAACCGCGGCUGUCGCGCCCUCGGCCACUGCGCCGCUGGUGGCGGAGGACGUCGCGCUGGCAGGCUUCGCGGCGUCAACCGCGGCCAUCGCGCCCUCUGUCACCGCGCCGGCUGCCCCUCUGACUGUCUCCACGGUGGUCUCACCUCAGCUAGUCUCCUCGAUGGGAUCGCAGCCGCCGCCGCCGUUUCACUUCGGCCAUCUCAUCACCAUCAAGUUGUCGUCGGACAAUUACAUCUUCUGGCGCGCGCAGGUUCUUCCGCUUCUUGGGAGUCACUAUCUGCUUGGCUAUGUCGACGGCUCUCUCCCUUGCCCUCCUGCGCUGGUUGACAGCGUGCACGGUCCGGUCUAUAAUCCGGCUCACCGUGUCUGGACAGGGCAGGAUCAGGCGAACCUCUCCUCCAUCCAGGGGUCGCUCUCUCCGGCCGUUGCUGGGCUUGUUGUCUUCGCCAAGACGUCCCACGAGGCAUGGACUAUUCUUGAGCGCUCAUUUGCGGCACAGUCGCAGGCUCGUGUAUCUGGGCUCCGUCGCCAACUUGGGGAGUGUCAGAAGCUUGACUCCACCGCCACUGAGUUCUACAACAAAGUCAAGAGUCUCGCCGACACGCUGGCCUCCAUUGGACAGCCCCUCACCGACUCCGAGUUCAACUCGUUUAUUGUCAAUGGUCUUGAUGAGGAGUAUGACGCCCUAGUCGAGAUCAUCAAUGAGAGAGGCAACUCCACGCCCAUGCCAGCACACGAGGUCUUUUCACGCCUCCUGCUUACUGAGCAACGAGUCGAGACGCGCCGAUCCAGGGGCAACGGCGCCCUCUCGGCAAACGCCGCCACCAAGGGUGGUCGCUCCUCUGCUUCAUCCAGGGCUCCUUCGGGGCAGUCACCACCACCCGCCUCGGCCCCUCCUCCUACUGCGACGCUACCAGGGGCUGGCGGUCCACGUGUGUGCCAGCUUUGUGGUCGCGAUGGGCAUUGGGCCUCGAAGUGUCACAAGCGCUUCCAGCGGGGUUUUCUUGGUCUCGGCAAUGACGGGAAGGAUACACGCAACUUUGCUCGUCAGGUCGCCAUGGCUGAUCGUCCGCCGCCGCAGAAGCCACAGGGACACACUCAGUCCUACUCCAUUGAUCCCCACUGGUACAUGGACUCUGGGGCGACAGAGCACCUGACCAGUGAGAUGGGGAAGCUUCACACUCGUGAACCCUACCAUGGCUCCGACAAGAUCCACACCGCCAAUGGAGCAGGUAUGCACAUCUCUCAUAUUAGUCAAGCAUCACUUCUCACUAGACAUGCCAAUAGGAGUCUUCAACUUCGCAAUGUUCUUCGAGUUCCAUCUGUGACACGUAAUCUUCUUUCAGUUCCUAAACUCACUCGUGAUAAUAAUGUGCUUUGUGAAUUUCAUCCUUUUGAUCUUUUUAUUAAGGAUCGGGGCACGAGGGACAUUCUUCUUAGUGGGCGGCUCUGCCAAGGUCUCUAUCGUCUGGAGCAUCCUGGCGUCGCUCGCGUCUUCAGUGGAGUUCGGGUAUCUCCGUCACAGUGGCAUGCUCGUCUUGGUCACCCGGCCACACCUAUUGUCCGGCAUGUUUUGCGUCGUCAUGAGCUUCCUAGUGUGUCUAGUAAUAAAGAUGUAGCAGUGUGUGAUGCUUGUCAGCAGGGGAAGAGUCAUCAACUUCCUUUUUCGAAGUCCAGUCGUGAGGUGAAACAUCCUUUAGAACUUGUGUUUUUAGAUGUAUGGGGUCCUGCUCAGACUUCUGUUAGUGGUCAUAAUUACUAUAUCAGUUUUGUUGAUGCUUACAACCGCUUUACCUGGCUUUAUCUUAUCAAACGUAAAUCUGAUGUGUUUGACAUUUUUGUUCAGUUCCAAAAACAUGUUGAACGCCUUCUCAAGCACAAAAUUGUUCAUGUUCAGUCGGACUGGGGUGGCGAGUAUCGCAACCUCAACUCCUUCUUUCAGUCGCUUGGGAUCACUCACCGUUUAGCAUGUCCACAUACACAUCAGCAGAAUGGUUCAGUAGAACGUAAGCAUCGUCACAUUAUUGAAGCUGGUCUGACUCUUUUGGCCCAUGCAUCUGUUCCGUUUCGUUUUUGGAGUGAUGCUUUCACCACUGCAUGUUUUCUCAUCAAUCGUACUCCCACUCGUGUUUUGAAUAUGAAGACUCCCAUUGAAGUUCUCCUUAAUGAACAACCGGACUACACCUUUCUCAAGGUGUUUGGGUGUGCUUGCUGGCCCCAUCUCCGUCCAUAUAACAAGCGUAAGCUCGAGUUUCGUUCCAAGAAGUGUGUUUUUCUUGGUUAUAGCUCUCUUCAUAAAGGAUACAAAUGUCUUCAUGUGCCAACUAAUCGUGUCUACAUCUCUCGGGAUGUUGUGUUUGAUGAGCAUGUUUUUCCCUUUGCCAAACUCCCUGUGUCCACUACCGAGCCACCUGUCAUGCAUUCAUCCUCUGUUGCUUCUGACCAAUUUGAUGAUGUUGCAUAUUCUCCUCUAUUGUUGCCUAACCAUGGUGCAGGCACUGGUCGUGGGGCUCGUUUGGAGAUUCUGGAAGUGCCAUCUUCCUCUUCGUCGCCAUCGCCUUCAUCCUCGGCACCUUCUGUUGUGCAUGAGGAGCACAUGGCGCCCCUGCAUGGCCUCGGUUUCCGUGCUCAUGCACGGCCGAUCGACGUCCUGGCCCGGUCGCCUCUGGCUUCUGGGCUGCCUUCGCCAUCGUCGCGCCCUGCAACCCCGCCGACUGGGCCGGCCUCCUCGGUCCCCGUCUCGCCCAGGGCGUCGGGGCAGUCAUCACCAGGCCUGGCCUCGCCCGCCCCUGCCUCGCCCAGGGUGUCUGGGCCCUUCUCAUCAGGGCCGGCCUCGCCUGCUCUCGCCUCGCCAAGGCCGUCUGGGCCGGUGUCACCGGAGCUGGCCUCGCCCACUCUCGGUUCGCCCAUGGCCUCUGAGCCCCUGUCGUCGGGCCAGUCUUCGCCAUGCAGCCCGGAGUCGUCUGUCCCGAGCUCGCCUGAGGUGAUUCCUGCAUCUCCGGCGACCGUCACGUCUCCGUCACCUUCGCCUCCGCCGGCUCCUGCUGCUGCUCUACGUCCACAUACGCGCAGUCGGAGUGGCAUUUUUCAGCCUAAGCAACGUCACGAUGGCACAGUUGCUUGGUUAGCGGCGUGCAUGUCUGCUGCUCUCGCAGAUUCAUUCUCUGAGCCACGCACGUAUCAAGCUGCUAUGCGCAUUCCUCAUUGGAGAGAGGCCAUGGAGCAGGAGUAUCAAGCGCUUCUUCGCAAUCAGACAUGGACUCUUGUUCCUCCACAAUCACGGGUAAAUGUCAUUGAUUCCAAAUGGGUUUUCAAAGUGAAGAGGCAUUCUGAUGGGUCCAUUGAGCGCUAUAAGGCUCGUCUGGUUGCUCGUGGUUUUCGACAGCGUUUUGGACUUGACUAUGAAGACACCUUCAGUCCAGUGGUCAAGCCUACUACCAUCAGACUUCUUCUCUCUCUGGCUGUUACUCGAGGUUGGUUUCUUCGUCAGCUUGAUGUUCAAAAUGCUUUUCUUCAUGGUGUCUUGGCGGAGGAGGUUUACAUGCGCCAGCCUCCGGGUUUCUCUGAUCCGGAUCGCCCUGAUCAUCUCUGUCGUCUUUCCAAGGCAAUUUAUGGUCUGAAGCAGGCUCCUCGUGCUUGGCAUGCUCGUCUUGCAAUGGCUCUUCGUGCUCAUGGUUUUGCAUCAUCAACUGCUGACUCCUCAUUGUUUCUUCUUCAAAGGCCUGAGGUUACUAUGUACUUGUUGGUCUAUGUAGAUGAUAUCAUUUUGGUCAGCUUCUCUCAGUCGGCUGCUACUGCGCUUGUUCGCUCACUUGGUGCUGAUUUUGCGGUCAAGGACCUUGGGAAGCUUCAUUACUUUCUUGGUGUGGAGGUUACUUCUCGUGCUGCUGGCCUUGUUAUGACGCAGAAGAAGUACUCUCUGGAUUUGUUGCAGCGAGCUGGGAUGCUUAAGUGCAAACCGACGACCACACCCAUGUCUACCACUGAUAAGCUCAAUGCUGUUGAUGGUGUGCUUCUUUCUUCUUCUGAUGCGACAGAGUACAGGAGUAUUGUUGGUGGGCUCCAGUACUUGACGAUCACGCGACCAGACAUUUCCUAUGCUGUUAACCGAGUCUGCCAGUAUCUGCAGUCACCCCAUGACACUCAUUGGUCUGCUGUUAAGCGGAUUUUGCGCUAUAUUCGUUUCACGGUGGCUCAUGGUUUGCAUAUUCGGCCGUCUGACUCUGGUUGUCUUUCAGCAUAUUCUGAUGCAGACUGGGCUGGCAAUCCGGAUGACAGGCGAUCCACGGGGGGUUAUGCUGUCUUCUUUGGCUCUAACCUGAUUGCCUGGAGUGCUCGGAAACAGGCUACUGUCUCGCGUAGCAGUACUGAGGCUGAGUAUAAGGCUGUGGCCAAUGCCACAUCAGAGAUCAUCUGGGUACAGUCCUUGCUUCAGGAGUUAAGUAUACCCCAAUCACAGCCUCCUGUUCUUUGGUGUGAUAACAUCGGUGCUACAUACCUUUCUGCAAAUCCGGUAUUCCAUGCCCGAACGAAACACAUUGAAGUUGACUAUCACUUUGUGCGUGAACGUGUCUCUCAGAAGCAACUACAGAUCAAGUUUAUUUCUUCCAAGGAUCAACUUGCUGACAUCUUCACCAAGCCAUUGCCUUUGCCACAGUUUGAGACUUGCAGGCGCAAUCUUACCCUUCUAGAUUCAUUAGAAAGUGGCUAAGAUUGAGGGAGGGUGUUAGACUGUAUUUACAUGUGUAUAUUGUAACGUUGUAUAUCACCUCAUUAUAUAUAUAUGUGAUAGGCCACCCCUAGAGGGUUGUGCCGGUUCCCCCCAAAGCCUAUUGUCUUACACUGUGCAUGCGUAUUUCAUUGUUUUUACGUAUCACGAAGGUCCUUUAUUGUUACGUAACUUGUCAUUACACACACAAGCACAACAGCUCCGUUAUUCUGCGGGGUAGGUAGCGAGAGACGCAUGCAUGUUGUCUAUCCGGGACGGUCCACAUGACAUCGUUUCUUCAGUAGAUACGUACGUACGCAUGUGUGGAUAUCUCGAUCUCCCCGCGUACGUGCACGAGCCAUGCAUGGCGCGCGCUGGCUGGCUGGCUCAGUAGUACGGCUGGAGCUUCCAGCGCUGGUUGUCGCCCUCGCACCACUUCCAGAGCACGACCUCGGUGCCGUCGCGCACGCCGCCGUGGUACUUGUCGCCGUUGAGGGCGUCGAAGUUGAGGUAGAUGUUGUUCACCAUGCGCACGCACCUGAACCCGUUGCCCACGUCCCUGCUCUCCGUCCACAGCACCGACUCGUCCAGGUAGUCUGGGUUGUACGGCACCAGACGCACCUGCAUGCACACCAAGAUGAUUCUAGAUUUCAGUUUAUGAAAACACAAAUGAAUGAAGGCAGCAGAGACUACUUACAGGGUGUGACUGGCCGAGGGAGUGCUUGAUGGCCUGCCCGGUGGCCUUGUUCACCAUGGCGAAGGCGGGGUAGCCCUCCUCGUCCUUGAUGCUGGUGCUCCACCUCAUGUCCUUGAUCCAGUGCUGGUAGUCGUCCUUGGGGUUGGCCGGCGCCAGCACCACCUUGCCGUUGCGCACGGACAUGGCGUAGUUGGGGUUGGCGCGGCAGUAGAUCUUCACCGUGGGCUGCGGCGGCAUCGGCCGCCCGCCGCAGUUGCCGUCGAUGUUCACCUGCGACAUGCCGUACGGCACCGGCGCCGCGUACCCGGGCGUCGCCAUCCCGUACCCGCCGUAGGUCUCGCGGUAGUAGUCCAUGGCUAUAUGCUCGAUCUCCUGAUCGACCUGCGCAAUGCAUGGCGACGGGACGGAGGAAUUUAUAGGGGCGACGGGACGAUCAUAUUCCAUUGGUGUGCUCUAAUACAUGGCGUUGGCCUCACGCUGCCUGUCAUGGUGAUAAGCGAUGUGGAUGUGCGGGGUGGUGGUGGGAUUCCAUGGAGCGAUUCCGUGGGAUAGACAGAUGAUGCCAUGGGACACUAGCUAGCUAGGUGGUGAGAUGUGGGUGUGCCGGACCAAGCUAGAGCCUGAGCUGGCUAGCUUUGCGUGAUUCGAUUUCUUUCUGGUAGUUUUGGGAAGAAGAAUCCCUCUCGUACGUACGUCCUCUAUUAUUGCUGGGGAGAUAGCUAGGGGAAGCCGAAUUUUACUAUGUGCUGUGCUUUGUCGCCGCACCGAUACAUUCCCGGUGUGCUCAUGAUGUGCUCGUUUCAAAAGUGAAGAUUUUUCUCCCGAAGAAAACUCUAAAGAAAAGAAAAGGAAAUAUUCGCGAUAGAAAUGGUAAGGUAAAGCGUCAAGACGGAACGGCCCAUUUCUGGAAUCUGGAUCAAUAAUUCAAUAUACUACCCCCCGCAGCACCAGAGAGAGGCGGGCCGGACUUGAUUUCGUUAUUAUGUAAAUUAAACAAUUGUACGUGGCCCGGCAAGACAUAUGGCAUUGGAUUCGUAUAAUCAUGGCCCGGUCUACCAGCAUGGCCCAGCGCAAGACAAGAUCUCAAAAAACAAAACUUACCGGGGCAUGCGGAUUAACUGAGCUCCAGCUCGGGUGAACAGUAAAAUCCAAAAGAAUUUAAAACAAAUUAAAUAAUUCUAAAAAAACUGUGGCAACAUUUGACAAAUGUUUAAAUGCCUGCAAAGUUUCACCAUAAAAUGAGAUCCGUGCAAGUUGUAGCAAAACAAAACCCCAAAAUCAAUGCUCCAAAAAGUUUUUUUCUAAGUGACUAUUUUUUUUUGCCACGACUUCAUGAAACAUUGCAAACAUUGAAAAUAUUUGUCAAAGUUUGUCACACAAAAAUUUCAGAAUUUUUUGCUUUUGUUUUCAUUUUUUUUUGGAUUUUACUGUUCACCCGAGUUCAUAUGAGUUCGAGCUGAGAACGGCACUUUCGCUUAUGAGGUUGUAUAGUUCAAUCAAUUUUUCAAGACCUUCAAGAUUAGUUUAGUUUGAGCUGAUAUGGUCUUCUGGCAAAGGGCAUCUUCAACGCUGAAAGGGCAUUUUCAACGCUGACUCCCAAAUCGGACAUACCAAAUUCGUCCGUGGACUGGUGGGUAUCAUUCUGUGGAAAGUGAUGCGGGAGCCAGUCAUUCAACCGUGCCCGCAUACAUCUCAAACCGGAUUUCAACAAACCGAAGGAAGUACACGCAAAUCAAAUGAUUUUCAUCUAAAUUGGAGCACAUUCAUUACAUUUUCGUCAUAUUUUCAUUAAACUAGCAUUUACAUGUCAAUGCCUCUUCUUAUUCCCUUUUUUUGGAGUCCUUUUCAACAUGUUUUGUGUAUUUUAUUCUCACGGUGGCAACUGAAUUUUGAAGGAAAUUUGUAGAUUGCUUAAGUGGCAAUAGUAUGGAAACAAAAUCUAGGACUUUUCAUGACCAAUUGCCCUAGUUCUUUAGAAUGGCAUCAUUUUAUUUCUUCGGGAGCUUUCGAAUGGUAUCAUGGUGUAAUGUAAAGGCUAGUAUCACUACAAGGAGGUUGCUAUACAUGGCAUACUCAUUGCAAAGAGCACUUUCCCUGCAUUUGUUCCUGUGGAAAACUUGUCUUGCAAAUCGUUAAGGCCUUGUUCGGUUCCAUGAUAAAUGAGAGGGAUUGACAUGUAUCGGCAGGGAUUAAAUCCCAUCUAGUUCAAANNNNNNNNNNNNNNNNNNNNNNNNNNNNNNNNNNNNNNNNNNNNNNNNNNNNNNNNNNNNNNNNNNNNNNNNNNNNNNNNNNNNNNNNNNNNNNNNNNNNNNNNNNNNNNNNNNNNNNNNNNNNNNNNNNNNNNNNNNNNNNNNNNNNNNNNNNNNNNNNNNNNNNNNNNNNNNNNNNNNNNNNNNNNNNNNNNNNNNNNNNNNNNNNNNNNNNNNNNNNNNNNNNNNNNNNNNNNNNNNNNNNNNNNNNNNNNNCAAAUCCCCUCCAUUCCACUCCAAUCCACUUGGGGAGUGGCUUAACCAAGGCCUAAAGGGAAAAUUUAACGGACUAGUUCUCACAUUUCAACUCCAUGUUAGAGGCACAACUUGAGCUUACAGUAUGAUUUUCAAGUAUGGAAUUUAGAUACAGUAUUUCUAAGGAGAGUACACAUUUCCCCUCGCAAAAUCAAGCCUGUUUGAUCUGAGAAAUUGGGCAUGGCAGAAGCUGAUGAACAAGCAAGGCCCCAACGGGUACAACAAACGUAGUACGAGGAGGGUGGAAGAUAGGUGAGCCCAUUGAUUAGAUCGCAGAAAAACGGAGACAAUGCAGGUCACAGAGUAGCACAGUACAGGGCCCAGUACCAAGAAAACACAGACGAGUUACAUCAAAGUUCAGACUUCGGAAUCAUGGUCCCUCUCCUCACUCUCUCCAACACUCUCUUCUUCCUCGCAGAAACGCCGGCUCAAUCAUUCAAUCACAAGGCGACACACGCACACAGACACCAUUGCCACACAUCGCACACGGUUUUAUUUGGACACAGCAACAUUAUUCGCUACCAGCGGCAGAGGACUACGACGACGACGGACGGACGGACGGACGGACGGCGACUAGGACGACUUGGGGGGCUUGUCCCCGGACUAAUCCAUGGCGAUGUGUCGAUGGCAAUGCGGCAGCUCAUCUCUGCACGAAGCAACAAUUCACUGGUCAGAACACAGAUGCAAGCAAGAUGUAUCAGGUUGAACUGCAGAGCAGUACGACUAUAGUACUUACACCAGGGGAGGAUCUUCCAGCGCUGGUUGUCGCCCUCGCACCACUUCCAGAGCACGAUCUCGGUGCCGUCGUGGACGCCGCCGUGGGCCUUGUCGCCGUGGAAGGCGUCGAAGUUGAGGUAGAUGUUGUUCACCAUGCGCACGCAGCGGAAGCCCUUGCCCACGUCUCGGCUCUCCGUCCACAGCACCGACUCGUCCUGGUACGCCGGGUUGUACGGCACCAGCUUCACCUGCACAUGCACGCACCAUCAAUUACAGAUCUUCAGUAAGAACUGCCGCC
rnacentral:lncRNA from 1 species